ensembl:snRNA U6 U6 spliceosomal RNA
UCUCAAAAAAAUAAAAAAUGGAUGAAGUGAGGAUGAUACAAAGAAGAUUAGCAUGCCCUCUCCACAAAGGAUGACAUGCAAAUUUGUGAAGCGUUGCAUAUUUUU